rnacentral:rRNA from 1 species
UCAUGAUGAACGCUAGCGACAGGCUUAACACAUGCAAGUCGAGGGGCAGCACAGGUAGCAAUACCGGGUGGCGACCGGCGCACGGGUGAGUAACGCGUAUGCAACUUGCCUAUCAGAGGGGGAUAACCCGGCGAAAGUCGGACUAAUACCGCAUGAAGCAGGGAUCCCGCAUGGGAAUAUUUGCUAAAGAUUCAUCGCUGAUAGAUAGGCAUGCGUUCCAUUAGGCAGUUGGCGGGGUAACGGCCCACCAAACCGACGAUGGAUAGGGGUUCUGAGAGGAAGGUCCCCCACAUUGGUACUGAGACACGGACCAAACUCCUACGGGAGGCAGCAGUGAGGAAUAUUGGUCAAUGGCCGAGAGGCUGAACCAGCCAAGUCGCGUGAGGGAUGAAGGUUCUAUGGAUCGUAAACCUCUUUUAUAAGGGAAUAAAGUGCGGGACGUGUCCCGUUUUGUAUGUACCUUAUGAAUAAGGAUCGGCUAACUCCGUGCCAGCAGCCGCGGUAAUACGGAGGAUCCGAGCGUUAUCCGGAUUUAUUGGGUUUAAAGGGUGCGUAGGCGGCCUUUUAAGUCAGCGGUGAAAGUCUGUGGCUCAACCAUAGAAUUGCCGUUGAAACUGGGGGGCUUGAGUAUGUUUGAGGCAGGCGGAAUGCGUGGUGUAGCGGUGAAAUGCAUAGAUAUCACGCAGAACCCCGAUUGCGAAGGCAGCCUGCCAAGCCAUGACUGACGCUGAUGCACGAAAGCGUGGGGAUCAAACAGGAUUAGAUACCCUGGUAGUCCACGCAGUAAACGAUGAUCACUAGCUGUUUGCGAUACACUGUAAGCGGCACAGCGAAAGCGUUAAGUGAUCCACCUGGGGAGUGCGCCGGCAACGGUGAAACUCAAAGGAAUUGACGGGGGCCCGCACAAGCGGAGGAACAUGUGGUUUAAUUCGAUGAUACGCGAGGAACCUUACCCGGGUUUGAACGCAUUCGGACCGAGGUGGAAACACCUUUUCUAGCAAUAGCCGUUUGCGAGGUGCUGCAUGGUUGUCGUCAGCUCGUGCCGUGAGGUGUCGGCUUAAGUGCCAUAACGAGCGCAACCCUUGCCACUAGUUACUAACAGGUAAAGCUGAGGACUCUGGUGGGACUGCCAGCGUAAGCUGCGAGGAAGGCGGGGAUGACGUCAAAUCAGCACGGCCCUUACAUCCGGGGCGACACACGUGUUACAAUGGCGUGGACAAAGGGAAGCCACCUGGCGACAGGGAGCGAAUCCCCAAACCACGUCUCAGUUCGGAUCGGAGUCUGCAACCCGACUCCGUGAAGCUGGAUUCGCUAGUAAUCGCGCAUCAGCCAUGGCGCGGUGAAUACGUUCCCGGGCCUUGUACACACCGCCCGUCAAGCCAUGGGAGCCGGGGGUACCUGAAGUCCGUAACCGCGAGGAUCGGCCUAGGGUAAAACUGGUG